rnacentral:rRNA from 1 species
CCUACGGGUGGCUGCAGUGGGGAAUAUUGGACAAUGGGCGAAAGCCUGAUCCAGCCAUGCCGCGUGUGUGAAGAAGGCCUUCGGGUUGUAAAGCACUUUCAGUGGGGAAGAAAGCCUUGGGGCUAAUACGCUCGAGGAAGGACAUCACCCACAGAAGAAGCACCGGCUAACUCCGUGCCAGCAGCCGCGGUAAUACGGAGGGUGCGAGCGUUAAUCGGAAUUACUGGGCGUAAAGCGCGCGUAGGCGGUCUGAUAAGCCGGUUGUGAAAGCCCCGGGCUCAACCUGGGAACGGCAUCCGGAACUGUCAGGCUAGAGUGCAGGAGAGGAAGGUAGAAUUCCCGGUGUAGCGGUGAAAUGCGUAGAGAUCGGGAGGAAUACCAGUGGCGAAGGCGGCCUUCUGGACUGACACUGACGCUGAGGUGCGAAAGCGUGGGUAGCAAACAGGAUUAGAUACCCGAGUAGUC